GACGAACGCUGGCGGCGUGCCUAAUACAUGCAAGUCGAACGCAGUGGGGACGGGUGAGUAACACGUGGGUAACCUCCCAUCAGAGGGGAUAACACUUGGAAACAGGUGCUAAACCGAUACUGAUGGAUGGACCCGCGGUGCAUUAGCUAGUGGGUGAGGUAACGGCUCACCAAGGCCACGAUGCAUAGCGGGCCUGAGAGGGUGAUGGGCCACAAUGGGACUGAGAGACGGCCAAGACUCCUACGGGAGGCAGCAGUAGGGAAUCUGCUGCAAUGGACGAAAGUCUGACCGAGCAACGCCGAGUGAGUGAAGAAGGUUGUCGGAUCGUAAAGCACUGUUAGUAGAGACGCGGUAUCUAGACAGAAAUCCACGGCUAACUACGGGCCAGCAGCCGCGGUAAUAC
rnacentral:rRNA from 1 species